CUCCUACGGGAGGCAGCAGUGGCGGAUAUUGCACAAGGGGGGAAACCCUGAUGCAGCGACGCCGCGAACAGGAAGAAGGUUUUCGGAUUGUAAACUCCUGUCGUUAGGGACGAUAAUGACGGUACCUAACAAGAAAGCACACCGCAUAACUACGUGCCAGCAGCCGCGGUAAAACGUAGGGUGCAAGCAUUGUCCGGAAUUAAUGGGUGUAAAGGGAGCGCAGGCGCACCGGCAAGUUGGAAGUGAAAACUAUGGGCUCAACCCAUAAAUUGCUUUCAAAAUGCUGGCCUUGAGUAGUGCAGAGGUAGGUGGCUUUCCCGG
rnacentral:rRNA from 1 species